AGAGUUUGAUCAUGGCUCAGGAUGAACGCUGGCGGCGUGCCUAACACAUGCAAGUCGAGCGAUUCUCUUCGGAGAAGAGCGGCGGACGGGUGAGCAACGCGUGGGUAACCUGCCCUGUACACACGGAUAACAUACCGAAAGGUAUGCUAAUACGAGAUAAUAUACUUUUAUCGCAUGGUAGAAGUAUCAAAGCUCCGGCGGUACAGGAUGGACCCGCGUCUGAUUAGCUAGUUGGUAAGGUAACGGCUUACCAAGGCGACGAUCAGUAGCCGACCUGAGAGGGUGAUCGGCCACAUUGGAACUGAGACACGGUCCAAACUCCUACGGGGGGCAGCAGUGGGGAAUAUUGCACAAUGGGCGAAAGCCUGAUGCAGCAACGCCGCGUGAGCGAUGAAGGCCUUCGGGUCGUAAAGCUCUGUCCUCAAGGAAGAUAAUGACGGUACUUGAGGAGGAAGCCCCGGCUAACUACGUGCCAGCAGCCGCGGUAAUACGUAGGGGGCUAGCGUUAUCCGGAAUUACUGGGCGUAAAGGGUGCGUAGGUGGUUUCUUAAGUCAGAGGUGAAAGGCUACGGCUCAACCGUAGUAAGCCUUUGAAACUGGGAAACUUGAGUGCAGGAGAGGAGAGUGGAAUUCCUAGUGUAGCGGUGAAAUGCGUAGAUAUUAGGAGGAACACCAGUUGCGAAGGCGGCUCUCUGGACUGUAACUGACACUGAGGCACGAAAGCGUGGGGAGCAAACAGGAUUAGAUACCCUGGUAGUCCACGCCGUAAACGAUGAGUACUAGCUGUCGGAGGUUACCCCCUUCGGUGGCGCAGCU
rnacentral:rRNA from 1 species